AUCAAAGUGGUGAAAUUGGUAAACACAUUACACUUAGAAUGUAACACUUUCAAAAGUAUUAAGGGUUCAAAUCCCUUCUUUGAUA
rnacentral:tRNA from 1 species